CUAUUUUGGCAUUAUUGGUUUUAUCUCUCAUAAUUGAUUUUAUUUGUAUCUUAACAAUUUUGAUUUCGAUAAUAAUUGAUUGUUCUCUGGUGUUGUCAAGAUGGUUUGUAUCUUAAUCAUUGAAAUCUGUUUAAAACGUUGUUUUAAUUUUGAAUUUCGUUUUGAAAAUAGAUGUGUUACUUAAUGCCUUGAACUCGAUGAGAUCACCUCCUUUAGUUUUCGUAUUCUACUGCUUGUAACAAAAAUGAAGAGUCCUUAGAUUUUUUUUCUAACUAAUUCCCUAUCUUUAUUUUUGUCUUGUCCUACCUAUUACACCCAUCAUGUGCCUUCCCUCUCGAAUUGAAUAUUCCUUCUUCUAAUUUAUUUUCCUAGACCCACUAUGAUCAAAGAUAAUGGGCUGCGACUUCUCUUUUCUUAGAGUAAAGAUAGAAAUAAAAAUAGAUUUACACCAAAUUGUCUCUCCUGAUGGUGCAUAGGUUCACGUUAUUUUGUUAAUCGUAAAAGAAAAUACAGAUUAAUCUACCUCCUUUUCCCAAUACUAAAACUGUCCCUUCUCUGUUUCGAAUAAGUCCUUUGUAUCGAUACUGCAUUUGAUACUGCGUCUGAUGCAUGCCAUUAACAUCUGCAUUUUGUAUUGGGACUUCUUCUUUCUUUUUUAACGUAAAAUGUUUUGAGGCCUAAUAGGAAUUUUUUUACCAACCAUCUGUUUGAAAAGAAAUGUUAUGCUCAACUUUUUACAUAUGAACAUUUUGUAUUUUACCUAUUAGUUUAAUCUUCUAGGACUCUCAUUUAGAAAAGGGUACUAUUGUAUCAAAAUGAAAUUAAAAUAAAAUCACUCUUUGUUCCUGCCUCUACCAUUUUGUCUAUAUCCUAUAUUCAUUUCCUUUUGAGUUCUUUUUAAUGUCUUCUAACUCUCGUCUCCUAUUAAAUUAACUUGAUGACUAUUCACACAAUUUCACUUGACUUUGUUGUGAUUUUUCAAUAGCCUAGCCAUCCACUUCCUCGGUAUUAUUUAACUAGCAGCAAAUUUCCAAUUAGUUUCUCGUAGGGGUGCACAUACCCUAUCCAUACCCGCCAACCCUAUUCUACCCGCCAGUUUUUUAACCGUAUCCUAUCCUAUCCACUAUUUGGCGGGUAGAGUGGCGGGUAAAGAUUUUCUUAACCGCCAGUAAACGGGUAGGGUGGCGGGUAAAGCUCGAAAUUAUCCUACUCUACCAGCAUACCCGCCUAUUUAUACUAUUGAUCUCUGCCGUUGGUCGUUUAAUCUCUGCCGUUGAUAUUUAUACUAUUGAUCUCUGCCGUUGGUUUUCGUUUAAUCUCUGCCGUUGGUUUUCGUUUUCCUCAACCUACAAAGUAAAAACUAAAAACUGAAUUCAUUUCUCAAACCAAAAGACUCUCUAUGCAGAGAAACUCCCAGAACGCAGAAGCAUAAUCAAAUCAAAAUCAAAUCUGUUAACAGAUCUCGUUUAGGACCCUUUAAUCGGUUGAUUCAAGGAUACGAGGAAUCUGAGUUUGCAAAGCUAAAGGAUUUAGUGAGUGGUUCUUCCUCCUAAUUUAAAAUCCAAACUAAUUUUCAAAGAGGGGUCAAAUUGGAAAUCUUGCACAGAUAGAGCAAGAAGAUAGAGAGAAUGGGUAUGCUUCUAACAAUCCAAUCCCAGUAUCAGGUUUAGGGAGUAGUACGAAUUCUCAAACAACCAAAAGAACAACAACAACUACUAAUAAGAAGCUUAAAAAAGAAACCCCACCUUCAGUUGGAGCACCUGUCAAGGUGAAGAAAGAAAAAAUCGGAGAAAGAAUUGCAGCAUUGCAACAACUAGUCUCACCAUUUGGAAAGUAAAAGAUAAUACGAGGAAUCUGAGUUUGCAAAGCUAAUGAAGGGUUUAGUGAGUGGUUCUUCCUCCUAAUUUGAAAUCCAAACUAAUUUUCAGUUAAGAUCUAGGAUACCAACACUGCUGCUCAAUUUCAGGUGAUUCAAUGUCCCCAGUUGUUAAAAAGAUUUAAUUGGUGAUCUUAGUACUUAUUCCAUCAUCGUAGAUGAUGAUUGAAGA